CCUACGGGCGGCAGCAGUAGGGAAUAUUGCUCAAUGGGGGAAACCCUGAAGUAGCAACGCCGCGUGGAGGAUGAAGGUUUUCGGAUUGUAAACUCCUUUUGUUAGAGAAGAUAAUGACGGUAUCUAACGAAUAAGCACCGGCUAACUCCGUGCCAGCAGCCGCGGUAAUACGGAGGGUGCAAGCGUUACUCGGAAUCACUGGGCGGAAAGAGCGCGUAGGCGGGAUAGCAAGUCAGAUGUGAAAUCCUAUGGCUUAACCAUAGAACUGCAUUUGAAACUGGUAUUCUAGAGUAUGGGAGAGGUAGGUGGAAUUCUUGGUGUAGGGGUAAAAUCCGUAGAGAUCAAGAGGAAUACUCAUUGCGAAGGCGACCUGCUAGAACAUAACUGACGCUGAUGCGCGAAAGCGUGGGGAGCAAACAGGAUUAGAUACCCGAGUAGUC
rnacentral:rRNA from 1 species